UACAGAGGGGGCAAGCGUUAUUCGGAAUUAUUGGGCGUAAAGGGCGCGUAGGCGGCUUUUCAAGUGACGGGUGAAAUCCCUCGGCUUAACCGAGGAACUGCCUGUCAGACUGGAAGGCUUGAGACCGGGAGAGGUGAGUGGAAUUCCCAGUGUAGCGGUGAAAUGCGUAGAUAUUGGGAGGAACACCAGUGGCGAAGGCGGCUCACUGGUCCAUUACUGACGCUGAGGUGCGAAAGCGUGGGGAGCAAACAGG
rnacentral:rRNA from 1 species